UAGAGGCCCUCAGAUGCUGACAAAAGCAAAAGCAAACGCUACAUUUUGUGCUAAAUUUUCUUCUUUAAGGGAGAGAGGCAGAAAUAUUUCUUGGAAUGGAGGGUGAGUAGUUCCUUCAGAAGGAUUUCUUUAGAAUUGUGGGCUUUUUGGUCAUCUAUGGAACAGGGAAACAAAAAAAAAGAGGGUUGGGGAACAGGGGAACAUUUCAAAAAUCCCUGCUGAAAAAAGCACAGGUUAGAAGUUGUUGACACAGUCCUGAUGGAGGUGCUGAACUGUCAUUGGUGCUCCUAGCUUUCAGGUUCCAUUAGGCUGGAAAGCCUUCCAUUAGAGUUGGCAAGUAUAGCAUGACAUAAUAUGACUUUUUUAAAUACAACAACAUAAGACAAGGAACUUUUAAUGAAUGACAACCCACAAAACACUCUUUAUUUGGAUUCCUGUACCCUAAGAGUCAUGAAGAAUUAGAUUGGAGACAAUCAUACUGUGAACUCAGAAUGCAACUUAGCUGAAUUGAUAAUAUCCUGCAAACUGUCUUCUAACUUAUCCAUGUGGGUUUUUUUUUUAAAAACUGCUGUACAAAGAGUUCUUAGAAUUUUGAAAUGCUUUAAGUUCCCUGGGCACAGUGUGGCUGAAAUCUCCCACAAGCUUUGAAGGCUGUUGGAAUAUUUUGGGUAGGAACCAGGUUCCCUCCAGCUCCAGAAAAAUUUUCUUUUCCAACAAUUUUCCUAGCCUAAGGAGAAUCAGCCUUGAGUACUGAAGAAACAGUGCUCUGUUGACUGGAUGGUAGAAUCAGAACCCUCUCAAUCCAAGUGGGAAAAUCUUUGCUUGAUGUGAAUUUGAAGGAGGAAUGACAUCUUGCCUCCAGGCGUGAUUUUCAGUCAGCAUCUUUAAAUGCUGGGAUCAGCCAGCCUGUUGUUUAAAUUUUCUUUAAAGUACUAAGCAAGGGAACUUUAUUUCUUUAUUAAAAGGUAAUUUUAAUUGGUACCCUGGUAAAUCUGUCUAUUCCAAGCAAGUUUUUAUAAAGCUCAUGCAGAAGUUAUUUAAAAUUAGGGCAAACACAGGCCACGUUCUAGUAUGUUUACCGAAGGGCAUAGUUGCAUUUAUGUAAUGUCCUGUCUAUAGGAACCAAACACCUGUAUUUUAACAAUUUAAGUAAAACAGCAAUAAGCUUCAAAUGUUGGCAAUCUACAUUAAAACUUGCCUUUCUUAAAAUUAAUCUUUGCAUACUUCAGACAGUGGUGAAUAAAGCUCAGCUUUAAAGGGAUUCUCCAGCUAGUACUGAACUGAAACUCAAGAUCUGUCAGAGGUGUCUACCCUCUGCUAGCAGAGUGUGAAUUCUGAUCAGUGUAUUUAAUUUCUUGGACCUGGCUUACAAUGAAUUUUUAAAUUGUACAUUUGU